UUUCAAGGACGCGCAUUUAAUACAUGGGAGGAAUGUAGUCGCGAUUCGUCGAUUUGUUGCCUAGUCAGCUCACCCUGAUCACACAUGACAAGCUAAAAGUGCUAUAUUAAGUCACUAUCCCUAUGGUUUUUAAAUGCUUUGAAUCUUUUCCAUUUGCAAGUAAUAUAUUCCCACCUGUGUAUUUAUAGAUCCCCCUCUAAUCAUCAUAUAUUUUACAGGUAACAAACCAAAGGAAGAGGACAGCAGCUUUGCUGUGUCAGUCGUGGUAAAUACAAGAACAUUCUUCAUGAAGAUGUGUGAGAGAAGCUUGCAAGGCAAGAUGAGGGAAACAAAUUAAAGGAGAUCUGAAGGAACAUCUCCCAGUUUUCUACUACGAUGUUGCCCUGAUGAUUGAGGAAUUUUUUUCUGACUUUCCUGCCUCUUUGGAGCAUUUCCGUUCACAGACUGUGGAGAGAUGGUGUACAGCUUCAUGACAUUUGAAGUUUACUGCCGAUGGAGAGCUUCUUACUUAAAGGUCCCCAAUGAGGAAACAGGCUUAU